CUAUACUAACCAGGAUGGACACCCAUUAAAUAAACUGUCAUUUAAAUCAGGAGGUAGGACCUAUACUGACCAGGAUGGACCCUCAUUAAAUAAACUGUCAUUUACAUCAGGAGGUAGGACCUAUACUAACCAGGAUGGACACCCAUUAAAUAAACUGUCAUUUAAAUCAGGAGGUAGGACCUAUACUGACCAGGAUGGACCCUCAUUAAAUAAACUGUCAUUUACAUCAGGAGGUAGGACCUAUACUGACCAGGAUGGACCCCCAUUAAAUAAACUGUCAUUUAAAUCAGGAGGUAGGACCUAUACUAACCAGGAUGGACACCCAUUAAAUAAACUGUCAUUUAAAUCAGGAGGUAGGACCUAUACUAACCAGGAUGGACACCCAUUAAAUAAACUGUCAUUUAAAUCAGGAGGUAGGACCUAUACUAACCAGGAUGGACACCCAUUAAAUAAACUGUCAUUUAAAUCAGGAGGUAGGACCUAUACUAACCAGGAUGGACCCCCAUUAAAUAAACUGUCAUUUACAUCAGGAGGUAGGACCUAUACUGACCAGGAUGGACCCCCAUUAAAUAAACUGUCAUUUACAUCAGGAGGUAGGACCUAUACUAACCAGGAUGGACACCCAUUAAAUAAACUGUCAUUUAAAUCAGGAGGUAGGACCUAUACUGACCAGGAUGGACACCCAUUAAAUAAA